CUACGGGAGGCAGCAGUGGGGAAUUUUGGACAAUGGGGGCAACCCUGAUCCAGCCAUCCCGCGUGUGCGAUGAAGGCCUUCGGGUUGUAAAGCACUUUUGGCAGGGAAGAAACGGCCUGGGAUAAUACCCCGGGCUAAUGACGGUACCUGCAGAAUAAGCACCGGCUAACUACGUGCCAGCAGCCGCGGUAAU
rnacentral:rRNA from 1 species